rnacentral:rRNA from 1 species
CCCUUAGAUGUUCUGGGCUGCACGCGCGCUACACUGAAGCGUUCAACGAGUAUUCACCUUGCCCGGGAGGGUUGGGUAAUCUUUUGAAAACGCUUCGUGAUGGGGAUAGAUUAUUGCAAUUAUUAAUCUUCAACGAGGAAUUCCUAGUAAGCGCGAGUCAUCAGCUCGUGCUGAUUACGUCCCUGCCCUUUGUACACACCGCCCGUCGCACCUACUGAUUGGAUGACUCGGUGAAGAAUCGGGACCGUGAGAACAAUCGAUUCAUUUCGAAUGUACUUGUGGGAACCUUUCUUAACCUCGUUUUCUAGAAGAAGGUGAAGUCGUAACA